CAUGCAGUCGAACGGCAGCACGGGUGCUUGCACCUGGUGGCGAGUGGCGAACGGGUGAGUAAUACAUCGGAACAUGUCCUGUAGUGGGGGAUAGCCCGGCGAAAGCCGGAUUAAUACCGCAUACGAUCUAUGGAUGAAAGCGGGGGACCUUCGGGCCUCGCGCUAUAGGGUUGGCCGAUGGCUGAUUAGCUAGUUGGUGGGGUAAAGGCCUACCAAGGCGACGAUCAGUAGCUGGUCUGAGAGGACGACCAGCCACACUGGGACUGAGACACGGCCCAGACUCCUACGGGAGGCAGCAGUGGGGAAUUUUGGACAAUGGGCGAAAGCCUGAUCCAGCAAUGCCGCGUGUGUGAAGAAGGCCUUCGGGUUGUAAAGCACUUUUGUCCGGAAAGAAAUCCUUGGCUCUAAUACAGUCGGGGGAUGACGGUACCGGAAGAAUAAGCACCGGCUAACUACGUGCCAGCAGCCGCGGUAAUACGUAGGGUGCAAGCGUUAAUCGGAAUUACUGGGCGUAAAGCGUGCGCAGGCGGUUUGCUAAGACCGAUGUGAAAUCCCCGGGCUCAACCUGGGAACUGCAUUGGUGACUGGCAGGCUAGAGUAUGGCAGAGGGGGGUAGAAUUCC
rnacentral:rRNA from 1 species